CCUACGGGAGGCAGCAGUGAGGAAUAUUGGUCCAUUGGCGGGAGCCUGAACCAGCCAAGUCGCGUGAGGGAUGACGGCCCUAUGGGUUGUAAACCUCUUUUGCCGGGGAGCACAGUGCCGCACGUGUGCGGUUUGGAGAGUGCCCGGAGAAAAAGCAUCGGCUAACUCCGUGCCCGCAGCCUCGGUAAUACGGAGGAUGCGGGCGUUAUCAGGAUUUAGUGGGUUUCAAGGGUUCGUAGGCGGACGCUUAAGUCAGCGGUAAAAUUGCGGGGCUCAACCGAGUCGAGCCGUUGAAACUGGGUGCCGUGAGUGGGCGAGAGGUACGCGGAAGGCGUGGUGUAGCGGGGAAAUGCAUAGAUAGCACGCAAAACUCCGAGUGCGAAGGAAGCGUACCGGCGCCCAACUGACGCUGAAGCACGAAGGCGUGGGUAUCGAACAGGAUUAGAUACCCCGGUAGGC
rnacentral:rRNA from 1 species